rnacentral:rRNA from 1 species
GAAUAUUGGACAAUGGGCGCAAGCCUGAUCCAGCCAUGCCGCGUGUGUGAAGAAGGCCUUCGGGUUGUAAAGCACUUUUGUCCGGAAAGAAAUCCUUUCGAUUAAUACUCGGACGGGAUGACGGUACCGGAAGAAUAAGCACCGGCUAACUUCGUGCCAGCAGCCGCGGUAAUACGAAGGGUGCAAGCGUUACUCGGAAUUACUGGGCGUAAAGCGUGCGUAGGUGGUUUGUUAAGUCUGAUGUGAAAGCCCUGGGCUCAACCUGGGAAUGGCAUUGGAAACUGGCUGACUGGAGUGCGGUAGAGGGUAGUGGAAUUCCCGGUGUAGCAGUGAAAUGCGUAAAUAUCGGGAGGAACAUCCGUGGCGAAGGCGACUACCUGGACCAGCACUGACACUGAGGCACGAAAGCGUGGGGAGCAAACAG